GCCGCCGUCGACCAGGGUGGUCGUCUCUCUUCGCGUGUAAGUGGCAAGAUGAAUAAUCUGAGAGGGUAACGUGGGUUCGACUCCCGCCGGCGGCA